CGGAGGGUGCAAGCGUUAUCCGGAUUUACUGGGUUUAAAGGGUGUGUAGGCGGGCUAUUAAGUCAGUGGUGAAAUCUCCGAGCUCAACUUGGAAACUGCCAUUGAUACUAUUAGUCUUGAAUUCUGUUGAGGUAGGCGGAAUUCCAGGUGUAGCGGUGAAAUGCGUAGAUAUCUGGAGGAACACCGGUGGCGAAGGCGGCAUCCUGGACCGGUAUUGACGCUGAGGCGCGAAAGCCAGGGGAGCAAACGGGAUUAGAUACCCCGGUAGUCCUGGCCCUAAACGAUGAAUGCUUGGUGUGGCGGGUAUCGAUCCCUGCCGUGCCGAAGCUAACGCAUUAAGCAUUCCGCCUGGGGAGUACGGUCGCAAGGCUG
rnacentral:rRNA from 1 species